GCCUGUAAAGCAGGGAAAAAGAUAGGAAUGUGAAUUGGCCCAAGUAAAAGAACGGAUGCAUACAAAUUAGACCACAGAACAUGGCCGGAAGCAGCAUCUAGCAAUAUAAACCUAUGGAAUGCAGACCCCCCCAACUGCCAAAAGCCUAAUGUAAGAUGUCCAAAGAAUUUGCAAGAGGAUAGAGAGAGCCAGGCAGUGGUGGUUCACUCCUUUAAUCCUAGCACUCAGACGGCAGAGACCAGACUUGUCUACAGGGUUAGUUCCAGGACAGGUAGGACUACACAGAGAGACCCUGGGGGUGGGGGUGGGGAAAGACUAGGAUUCUGAGAGACUUCAGAACUAUCUACUACCAAUAUAUGCUUUAAGACCUAAAGUAGUACACAGUGUAUAAAGAAGAUUCAAUAUCAAUAGGGAUGAUAAAUUAUUUAGUUGGAAUUCUCCAAAGAGGAAAUAUUCUAAAUUAAAAUGUUAAAAUCUCUGCUGGGCGGUGGUGGCACAUGCCUUUAGUCCCAGCACUCAAGAGGCAGAGGCAGGAGUAUCUCUUGAGAGUUUGAGGCCAACCUGGACUAGAGUGAGUUCUAGGGCAGCCAGGGAUAGAUACACAGCAAAACCCUGUUUUAUAAAACAAAAGAAAAUUACAGAUGAUAUAUUCUAAUUGUAGAUUCCACAGCAACAAAGAGUAACCUGUGGGGAUAGCAUAAGUCUUAACCUGAGAGGGAGGCUUUGCAACGGACAACACUGAUUUUCCUAACCCAUAACCCCUGUUGUAAUCUGUACUGAAGCUCACAGGACCGCUACUUCAGGAUGUUUCCUAUCCCUGUGUUCCAGGCAUCAUUCCGCUCAAACAGAUCCCUCCCGCCACUCCCACAGGAUAGGAGCUUUCUUUGCAGCCCAGCUGAGGCAUCAAAAGAAGGACGAGGAGCAGGGAGGCGUCUAGUUGGCACUGUGGUCCCUGACCCAGGAUCCGGCCCAAACCCGCCACCUGACUUGAGUCGGGGCUUAGGGGGCAGAGGCCAUCGAAGACGUUCUCGUCUGGGGUUUGAGUAAGUGGUGCCGGGUCCCGGAGGCUCAGGCCCCCAAGACCCGCUCCCUUGUAUAGUCUCUUUCAUCUUCCAGUACUCUGUAAAGCAAAAGCUUGAAUAUCAGAAUCAGAACAUCCUACUCCUCCAAGAUAACGGUUUCUCAGCAUUUCCCCUCUGAUUUCAGAUACAAAUAAAGAAAAACGCAAAAACUCGUAACUUUGGCUCUUCCCAGCUAACCUGGUCCACAA